UCCCCUCCUGUUCUCCUGGACAGAAUCACCAGCAUAAUUCACACGGACUUCUCUGAUCUCCCACAGGUCGUUAGACUGGAUAUAUUGUAUUGAUUUCUGCCUCCUUUAUUCCCCCAGCACUUUCAUUACCACUGUCAGGAAUGGGUUUCAGAAACCACAAAAAAUUUCAUGGAAGAGACAGGAAAAGAAACUUGAAGGAAUUUCACACUGAAUGGAAAAGUUCCUUCUAGUCGUCUUCGAGUGAGCUAGUUCUCAAACAUUAUUCUCUGUAGUCUUCCUGAGAACUCAGACUACUGGUAUAACCCUGCUUGGAAUAUGACUGCUGGAUUCUAGCAAUGUGUUGAUCCCGGCCCCAAGACCCGCCCACGAAAAUGAUUAUUUUAACCCUGAGGACCUAGAUGUGGCCAGUCUUUGCUGGGACCACUGUCGUCAUCGUCAUCGUCACCAUCUGACACUGGCUUUUAUCAAGGGUUGCUCCCCGAGCCUGGAUGCCAAUCAUUCACCUCUCCCUGGCAAAAGUAAUAAAUCAUAGCGAGAAACUGACUGCUUUUGAAGAAUAUAGAAGAUAAAGAAACUGAGUGUUUGAGAACUGGAAGGUGGCAAAAAGCAGCAGGAGGCGAAGAGGAAAAGAUCAAGUGGAAAGAGUCAGCACCAUGUGUACUUUGCUCAGCUCGGAACUUGAACCCUUCUACAGAGAUCACGUCUGUCUGAGCCUCUUGAAUCGCCAACCUUGUGAAAAACAAUAGGUAAACGUAUCCAGGGAGAAAUAGGGCAACACCAAGGAGACAACAGGGCCAUAGGACAGGUUCCAGGUACAGCUGAAGGGCCAUCUGGACACCCACUCCCACCCACUUUCGUCAGAGUCACCAAGCACAGUGGGGGGUCGGGGUGGAGCCACAGGCACUGACAGAGUAGUGACUCCCCCACAACUUCCUCCUUCCUGUCCAGCUCAGCCUGUUUACUCAGCAGACUUGUCUGGUGUAAAGCUCUCAUCUUCCCCACAACAGGCCCCAUUUCUCCACCACCUUCCCAUACCACACAUAGCUGUAUUUCUUAAGGGAGGGAUUUUUCUUUUUACGUUAGCUGUAGACAGCAACCAAAGGUAAAUAACAAUUUGUCUAUAUUUUAUUAUUCGAUUCCUUAAAGAGGUUUCACUUCCUUUCUUGGGAGCAAUGAGCCAAGCAUGAAUAGGUUUUGUGGACACUAAGUCUCAAGUUUGACUGUGACUCCACUUUGGCACUCUACCUGACCUUCUCCGGUAGUGCUGGGCACCUGCCUUACCUUAUUAAGUUAAUUAAAGUUUGGCUACUAAUGA